rnacentral:lncRNA from 1 species
UGCCUGCUUUACCACUUCCAAAGCCCUUCCUGCAGCUGUGUGCUUCACCUUUCCCCAGUGCUGAACUAGCAAGACUGGAGCUGUGGGAGGAGAGGAGGGAGAGGACAGUGCUGAAAUCGGAGGGGCCAGUAAACACCUGAGCGGCUGGAAUGUGCUCUCUUGGCUGGAGAACAAGCAUGGCAAGCAAGGAGUCCACAGGAACAGAAGUCCCAGGGAGUCCUGGGCAGUUUUUUUGCCAUCUUUAUCCUGUGGAGAAUCACAGCACACAUGCAAAGAUGAUGUGUGAAUUCAUGAGGGACUCCAUGGCAUCUGUGAACAUCUGUGUCAAGCCCUCACUCUGUUCCUCUGCUAUUGUGCUCAGUGUCACUUUUGCUGAAGGAAAGUGGCUGAAAUGUCGCUUUAACCAAACAUCUUGAGAUUUUGGAGACAGGUCUGAAACUGAAAAGAGAUUGAUUCUCAUGGGAAAACCGUGUUGUUGGACAAGGAGAUGUAAAUCACAGCUGGCUUACAAAACAAGUGAGAAAACAGAUUUUUUUUUCUUUUUUUUUUUUUUUUUUUGCUAAAUUGACAAAGCGGGGGAGGCUAGGCUCUGUCAGGCUAAGGAAUCCAGCUUUUCCAGGGCCUGGGCU